rnacentral:misc_RNA from 1 species
GAUGAAGAACGUAGCGAAAUGCGAUAAGUAGUGUGAAUUGCAGAAUUCAGUGAAUCAUCGAAUCUUUGAACGCACAUUGCGCCCGCCAGUAUUCUGGCGGGCAUGCCUGUUCGAGCGUCAUUUCAACCCUCAAGCACAGCUUGGUGUUGGGACUCGCGUUAAUUCGCGUUCCUCAAAUUGAUUGGCGGUCACGUCGAGCUUCCAUAGCGUAGUAGUAAAACCCUCGUUACUGGUAAUCGUCGCGGCCACGCCGUUAAACCCCAACUUCUGAAUGUUGACCUCGGAUCAGGUAGGAAUACCCGCUGAACUUAAGCAUAUCAAUAAGCGGAGGA